rnacentral:tRNA from 1 species
UCCUGGGUGGCUCAGAUGGUAAAGCAUCUGCCUGCAAUGCAGGAGACCCGGGUUCGAUUCCUGGGUCGGGAA